rnacentral:rRNA from 1 species
CAGUCGCCGCGGGAAUACAGAGGGUGCGAUCGUUAAUCGGAUUUACUGGGCGUAAAGCGUGCGUAGGCGGCUUCUUAAGUCGGAUGUGAAAUCCCUGAGCUUAACUUAGGAAUUGCAUUCGAUACUGGGAAGCUAGAGUAUGGGAGAGGAUGGUAGAAUUCCAGGUGUAGCGGUGAAAUGCGUAGAGAUCUGGAGGAAUACCGAUGGCGAAGGCAGCCAUCUGGCCUAAUACUGACGCUGAGGUACGAAAGCAUGGGGAGCAAACAGGAUUAGAUACCGUGUGUCCCUGUCUCUUAUACAC